AACGAACGCUGGCGGCAUGCCUAACACAUGCAAGUCGAACGAGACCUUCGGGUCUAGUGGCGCACGGGUGCGUAACGCGUGGGAACCUGCCUUUAGGUUCGGAAUAACUCAGAGAAAUUUGAGCUAAUACCGGAUGAUGUCUUCGGACCAAAGAUUUAUCGCCUUUAGAUGGGCCCGCGUUGGAUUAGCUAGUUGGUGGGGUAAAGGCCUACCAAGGCGACGAUCCAUAGCUGGUCUGAGAGGAUGAUCAGCCACACUGGGACUGAGACACGGCCCAGACUCCUACGGGAGGGAGCAGUGGGGAAUAUUGGACAAUGGGCGAAGGCGUGAUACAGCAAUGCCGCGUGAGUGAUGAAGGCCUUAGGGUUGUAAAGCUCUUUUACACGAGAUGAUAAUGACAGUAUCGGGUGAAUAAGCACCGGCUAACUCCGUG
rnacentral:rRNA from 1 species